AGGGCAGGAAGCAGAGGAGGGGCAUUCAUAGGAUACUCGCCACCAUUGGCUGCACCAAGUAAAAGGACCAGCCAUUGGUCUUAGCCAACAAAGAGGAGGUCCAUUUGGGGGAGAGGGACCUCCAGCCAACAUCCAGGAUGGCCUGCAACUAACUCCAGCUCAUUCUAGCCACUGAUGUUAGGGGAGAAAGUUUAUGAUACCCUAAGUUGGAGGGCAACCAGGAGGAUGAAGGAACUCCAAACUGCCGCACAAGGAUUAGUUAAAAGGAUGUUACCAGAGCUACAAGGAGCAUUAGAGAUGCGAGGUCCAGAGGUCAGCAAGCUUUGUCUGCAAGCUUUGUGGGCCAAGAAACAAGAUCAAGGAUAGUAGGGAGGCCUUUAUGGAACCAUUUUUUAAUUAAUUAAAUUCAAAAUACAAGACUAACAAUUGAGUACUUUUGGGUGCUAAAUCAGGUUGACCAAUGAGAAGAAUGGAAUUUUUUUAUGGGGGAACACAACAUUUCUCUUGGGUAGGGGACAAAAUAUAUGCUGCCAGACUCUGAUAUCAAUCCAUGAAGAAAUAAGUGGUUUUAGUGGAGCCAAAAGAUGCUGGAUCCCAUUCGUUGGCUGCUAUACUCAACGAGGACUUUAUGGACUGUCAGUGCACAGCUUUCCUUCCUUGGCUAAUUAAUGAGCCUCUGGGGAAAGCGCCUUUCGUUAAGUGCUUCAGUUUUUACUUUUGUCAGGAAAUUCUGUUGUUAUGAGAUAUUUUCCUUUUAAGUUUUCUGAUUUUUUGACUGUUGCUUGACUGUGCGGUGCAAAUGUUGUGAUGAAUGCUUAGCGUGGCAACCUUUUAGCAUAGCUAUAGUAUCAUGGCAUAAUAAAACUAAUUUGAUAACAAAAGAAUCCAUACUCCAUCGUUGCUCAAAAAGGCAACGCUCAAAGUCCAUUUUUUUGUCAUUUACAGAUGAAGAAAUUGAGGCACCAAGAGUUAACUUCUCAUUGUUGAUGGAAUUAGAGGGAUUGACUGGUCAAAGGAUUGUCUGCAUCCUACGUGGUCCCCACCUUUUUAAAAAAAUAAAAUUUUAAUUGAUUC